rnacentral:rRNA from 1 species
CUAAGUAUAAAUAGUAUACAGUGAAACUGCGAAUGGCUCAAUUAAACAGUUAUAGUUUAUUUGAUAAUUGAAUUCUACAUGGAUAACCGUAGUAAUUCUAGAGCUAAUACAUGCUGUAAAACCUGACUUUUCGGAAAGGUUGUAUUUAUUAGAUAUCAAACCAAUAAUCUUUCGGGAUUAUUGUGAUGAUUCAUAAUAACUGAUCGGAUCAAGGUGUACCUUGAUAGAUCAUUCAAGUUUCUGCCCUAUCAGCUUUCGAUGGUAGUGUAUUGGACUACCAUGGCAGUCACGGGUAACGGAGAAUUAGGGUUCGAUUCCGGAGAGGGAGCCUGAGAAACGGCUACCACAUCUACGGAAGGCAGCAGGCGCGUAAAAUUACCCCAAUCCUGAUUCAGGGAGGUAGUGACAAGAAAUAACAACUCGGGGCCUCACGGCUUACGAGAUUGCAAUGAGAACAAUUUAAAUCUCUUAGCGAGGAACAAUUGGAGGGCAAGUCUGGUGCCAGCAGCCGC